UACAGAGGGUGCGAGCGUUAAUCGGAAUUACUGGGCGUAAAGCGCGCGUAGGCGGCUUUGCAAGUCGGGUGUGAAAUCUCGGAGCUUAACUCCGAAACUGCAUUCGAUACUGCCGUGCUUGAGGACUGGAGAGGAGACUGGAAUUUACGGUGUAGCGGUGAAAUGCGUAGAUAUCGUAAGGAAGACCAGUGGCGAAGGCGGGUCUCUGGACAGUUCCUGACGCUGAGGCACGAAGGUCAGGGGAGCAAACGGG
rnacentral:rRNA from 1 species